GCGCCCAUAGCUCAACCGGAUAGAGCGACAGACUUCGGAUCUGUAGGUUGGGGGUUCAAGUCCCUCUGGGCGCGCCA
rnacentral:tRNA from 1 species